GUUAUGAUCGACAGAAGAAAACGCUAUGUAAAGUUGUCUUAAUAAUCGUUUACUGAAGAAGGCCUUUGGCCGAAAUAUUUAAUAAAAGAGUAAAUGUAUGAAGUUUUAAAGCGUUUUACUUCAGGACUCUGGCAGGACUCCAGGGGUCACUGAAACCCGUCACCAUGAAGAAUUUCAUGUGUAAAUACUGUGACUCUGAGUUUGAUGUCCACAAAGACACUGUACAAUACCUCAUAGAACACCACGAACCUUCAACCAUUAAGUACAGGGAGCUGGAACUGAAUGAGAAAACGGGUCGUAACGGCUACAGAACAAAGGAUGAUGACCAUAUGUUAAAAAUAUAUGUGACCAUAAAUCACAGUGGUAUACACUGUAUUUGAUAUUUAUUAUAAUGAUGCGGUAUGAACUUAAAAUGUUUACUAGUACCUUAUUUAUCAUAACAAGUGUUUGUGUUGAAUCAUGAUUUCGUAUACAGUAUACGCAAGUAAUCCAAAUGGCCAUGUUCGUCGACAUAAUAUUGUCCACCUCUCAGAACUAUCUUUAUAAGAUUUUUUGAGUUUUAAGAAAUCUUUUUGUUUAUUAUCAAAUGUUUAAUUGUAUUUCAUUGUUAAUGUUCUUUUGAAGCUUGUCACACUGUUUUAAACUCCGACAAGUCAUAUUAGUAUACCAGUCAGUCCUGUAUGUCCGUGUUAUAACCAUUACAAUUUGUAAGUGAAAAAAACAACAACACAUAAAAUGAUUUAAAAUUUAAUGAUAACAAUUGUAUUUCUAAGAUGAUAAUUAUCUAAUAUUGCUUUUAUUUAACAAGUACGUUUAAAAAUAUAAAUACAAGUCAAACGUAUUGUGAUGGAGAUGGUAAGUCAUCUAGAGGCUUUGUUUUGUAUGUUUUACUUGUAACUUAUACGUAUGAUGUAUGUUAUUUUUUCCAUCGGGCGUUUCUUGUUAAGUCGUCUGGAAACCCAGCGAUAUAGAUAAAACUAAAAGUUUUGGACUCGAAAACACGCUGAUAAAAAUAAAAUAAAAUAAUUCGUAGAAGUAACAAUUUAAAUGUACAAUAUAAACCUCUUUAACAUUAUACGUUUUCACAGACAUGCCAUUCUAACACAAACAAAGAUGUCUCUAACAACAUACACGUAAUUUUUCAUCUCAGAAUUUUAAAGUCGCAGUAUACGUUAUCUAGGAAAAAUGACAAACCCUAUAGUGUAUGAUAUGUAACAAUAAUGUUAAACUGUCCAUAUUCGACGUUUGUUUUGUGAAUAAUGUAACACAGUUGUACCAGGGAGAUUGCAGAUUUUAUGUUUUUGUUUACAUGUUUUUACUGUUACAGUUCUAAAUAAAGUUUUAUCAGAUUAA